AUUGAACGCUGGCGGCAUGCCUUACACAUGCAAGUCGAACGGCAGCAUAGGAGCUUGCUCCUGAUGGCGAGUGGCGAACGGGUGAGUAAUAUAUCGGAACGUGCCCUAGAGUGGGGGAUAACUAGUCGAAAGACUAGCUAAUACCGCAUACGAUCUACGGAUGAAAGUGGGGGAUCGCAAGACCUCAUGCUCCUGGAGCGGCCGAUAUCUGAUUAGCUAGUUGGUGGGGUAAAAGCCUACCAAGGCAACGAUCAGUAGCUGGUCUGAGAGGACGACCAGCCACACUGGGACUGAGACACGGCCCAGACUCCUACGGGAGGCAGCAGUGGGGAAUUUUGGACAAUGGGGGCAACCCUGAUCUAGCAAUGCCGCGUGAGUGAAGAAGGCCUUCGGGUUGUAAAGCUCUUUUGUCAGGGAAGAAACGGUAGUAGCGAAUAACUACUACUAAUGACGGUACCUGAAGAAUAAGCACCGGCUAACUACGUGCCAGCCGCCGCUGUAA
rnacentral:rRNA from 1 species